GCGCGCGUGCCCCCAGGCUCCGGCCUGGGGCCGCGGGCCGAAGGGAGGGCGGGGUGGCAGCGCCGGCGGCCCGGGUCCUCCUGGGGGUGGCGUGCGCGGCUCUCACCUCCACCUUCCCGGGUCCCCUCUGCCUCGCCGUGGAAGGCGCCCCGCGUGGCCUCGGGUCCGGUCGCCUGCCCCGCGCCGUCCCGCGUGUCCCUGCGGGACCCGGAUCCCGGGCGCCUUCCUCGCGGACUGCCAGGAGGGCCCAGAGGUGAGCUUGCUGCCCCGAAGUCCACAGCGGAGACCCGGGGCUCUGGGCGUGAGGACUUUCGGCUUUGGGGAAGGUUUAGACACACGCCGCCCGUGUCCCACCCGCGAAGAUGCCACCCCUCCCCAGAGAGUUUUAUUUGAUUUGAUUUUAAUAAGUUGACUCCUCCGACGGACGUGUGUCGUAAAGCAUUCUAGAGAAUGACUGUCACCGGACAGACCGCCUCUGGCACGACGCGAAGCUUUGCUGUCACUUGGGGAGGAAGGAGAAGGAGCCAGGCCGCUGGCAGGAGCGCAGGCAGCGGCAGAGGUAGCCCAGGUCCAGGGGAGCCCGUCCCAAACCCAGGUGUCGGGCUCGAGAGGAACCCAUCCUCCGUGGCCUGCAGGCUUGUGGCUCCUACCGCCGGUGCCUUUAGAGCGAGUCGGCGUGGACACGCACGUUUCAAGGAGCCGGGGCGUCCUGCGAGGCCGAGCGCGGAGAAAGGCCUGGGGCCGGGCUUGCGCCUGAGGGUCUCUCGGAAGGAGCUGGCGGCGCCGGCCGGGCCGCCUUGCAGCCUCGGUCGGCCCUGGGCUCUCGGGCGGGGCGCGGGGAGGCCGGGGAGCGGCGCGGGCCCGGGAGUCGUGCGCGCGGGCGGCGAGGGGGCGCUGUGGCCCGCGGCUGCGGCCUGGUCCCUGCAGCGGUGGCCCCGGCGCAGUCCCCGGCCACUGAACGGCGGUGGGCGCUCUCGCCCCGGCCCGGCCUACGUCUGCCCGCGUCGCUUUAACUUGGGGAAGAAGGAAAACUAGGCCGGGGCGUUUUGAUGAACCGAAGCCGCGCAGGGACUUGGCUUCACUCUGUCUCACUGCCGACGCUGGCCGCCGUGAAGUGCGCGAAGGGCAGGUCCCAACGAGACGCGAAUCUCUCUCUGGCGCGGGUACCUCCGGGCUCGUCCGACGGGGCUGCAGAUGCGACGCUCCUCGG